rnacentral:Y_RNA from 1 species
GGUUGGUCCGAUGGUAGUGGGUUAUCAGAACUUAUUAACAUUAGUGUCACUAAAGUUGGUAUUCAACCCCCCACUGCUAAAUUUGACUGGCUUCAA